rnacentral:rRNA from 1 species
UACGGAGGGAGCUAGCGUUGUUCGGAAUUACUGGGCGUAAAGCGUGCGCAGGCGGUUUUGUAAGACAGGCGUGAAAUACCCGGGCUUAACCUGGGAAUUGCGUUUGUGACUGCAAGGCUAGAGUGCGGCAGAGGGGGAUGGAAUUCCGCGUGUAGCAGUGAAAUGCGUAGAUAUGCGGAGGAACACCAAUGGCGAAGGCAAUCCCCUGGGCCUGCACUGACGCUCAUGCACGAAAGCGUGGGGAGCAAACAGG